GAUUCAUGAUAACUCCUCGAAUCGCAUGGCCUUGUGCCGGCGAUGGUUCAUUCAAAUUUCUUCCCUAUCAACUUUCGAUGUUUGGGUAUUGGCCAAACAUGGUUGCAACGGGUAACGGAGGGUUAGGGCUCGACCCCGGAGAAGGAGCCUGAGAAACGGCUACUACAUCCAAGGAAGGCAGCAGGCGCGCAAAUUACCCAAUCCCGACACGGGGAGGUAGUGACAAUAAAUACUGAUACAGGGCUCUUUUGGGUCUUGUAAUUGGAAUGAGUACAAUUUAAAUCCCUUAACGAGGAACAAUUGGAGGGCAAGUCUGGUGCCAGCAGCCGCGGUAAUUCCAGCUCCAAUAGCGUAUAUUAAAGUUGUUGUGGUUAAAAAGCUCGUAGUUGAACCUUGGGCCUGGCUGGCCGGUCCGCCUCACCGCGUGUACUGGUCCGGCCGGGCCUUUCCCUCUGUGGAACCCCAUGCCCUUCACUGGGUGUGGCGGGGAACCAGGACUUUUAC
rnacentral:rRNA from 1 species